rnacentral:rRNA from 1 species
CCUACGGGCGGCAGCAGUGGGGAAUAUUGCACAAUGGGGGAAACCCUGAUGCAGCGACGCCGCGUGCGUGAAGACGGAUUUCUGUAUGUAAAGCUCUAUCAGCACGGAGGUAAAUGACGGUACCUGACUCAGAAGCCCCGGCUAACUACGUGUAAGCAGCGGCGGUAAUACGUAGGCGGCAAGCGUUAUCCGGAUUUACUGGGUGUAAAGGGAGCUUAGACGGUCAGACAAGUCAGAAGUGAAAGUGCAGGGCUCAACCCUGGGACUGCGUUUGCAACUGCCGGGCUAGAGUGAAGGAGAGGUAGGCGGAAUGCCUGGUGUAGCGGUGAAAUGCGUAGAGAUUAGGCAGAACACC